GACAGAGGGUGCAAACGUUGUUCGGAAUUACUGGGCGUAAAGCGCGUGUAGGCGGUUUCCUAAGUCAGGUGUGAAAGCCCCGGGCUCAACCCGGGAAGUGCACUUGAAACUGGGAGGCUAGAGUAUCGGAGAGGUUGGUGGAAUUCUCGGUGUAGAGGUGAAAUUCGUAGAUAUCGAGAGGAACACCGGUGGCGAAGGCGGCCAACUGGACGAAUACUGACGCUGAGACUCGAAAGCGUGGGGAGCAAACAGG
rnacentral:rRNA from 1 species